AUUGAACGCUGGCGGCAGGCCUAACACAUGCAAGUCGAGCGAGCGGCGGACGGGUGAGUAAUGUAUGGGGAUCUGCCUGAUAGAGGGGGAUAACUACUGGAAACGGUAGCUAAUACCGCAUACCAUCGGAUGACCCCAUAUGGGAUUAGCUAGUAGGUGGGGUAAUGGCUCACCUAGGCGACGAUCCCUAGCUGGUCUGAGAGGAUGAUCAGCGACACUGAGACUGAGCCACGGCCCAGACUCCUACGGGAGGCAGCAGUGGGGAAUAUUGCACAAUGGGCGCAAGCCUGAUGCAGCCAUGCCGCGUGUAUGAAGAAGGCCUUAGGGUUGUAAAGUACUUUCAGCGGGGAGGCGUUACCCGCAGAAGAAGCACCGGCUAACUCCGUGCCAGCAGCCGCGGUAAUUC
rnacentral:rRNA from 1 species